UGGGGAAUAUUGCACAAUGGGCGCAAGCCUGAUCCAGCCAUGCCGCGUGUCUGAAGAAGGCCUUCGGGUUGUAAAGGACUUUUGUCAGGGAAGAAAAGGGCGGGGUUAAUACCCCUGUCUGAUGACGGUACCUGAAGAAUAAGCACCGGCUAACUACGUGCCAGCAGCCGCGGUAAUACGUAGGGUGCGAGCGUUAAUCGGAAUUACUGGGCGUAAAGCGGGCGCAGACGGUUACUUAAGCAGGAUGUGAAAUCCCCGGGCUCAACCUGGGAACUGCGUUCUGAACUGGGUGACUAGAGUGUGUCAGAGGGAGGUAGAAUUCCACGUGUAGCAGUGAAAUGCGUAGAGAUGUGGAGGAAUACCGAUGGCGAAGGCAGCCUCCUGGGAUAACACUGACGUUCAUGCCCGAAAGCGUGGGUAGCAAACA
rnacentral:rRNA from 1 species